rnacentral:rRNA from 1 species
AUUGAACGCUUGCGGCAGGCUUAACCCAUGCAAGUCGAGCGAGCGGCGGACGGGUUAGUAAUGUCUGGGAAACUGCCUGAUGGAGGGGGAUAACUACUGGGAACGGUAGCUAAUACCGCAUACUAUCAGAUGUGCCACGAUGGGAUGAGCUUGUAGGUGGGGUAAUGGCUCACCUAGGCGACGAUCCCUAGCUGGUCUGUGAGGAUGACCAGCCACACUGGAACUGAGACACGGGCCAGACUCCUACGGGAGGCAGCAGUGGGGAAUAUUGCACAAUGGGCGCAAGCCUGAUGCAGCCAGGCCGCGUGUGUGAAGAAGGCCUUCGGGUUGUAAAGCACUUUCAGCGAGGAGGCGUUACUCGCAGAAGAAGCACCGGCUAACUCCGUGCCAGCAGCCGCGGUAAUAC